CUACGGGGGGCAGCAGGCGAGAAAACUUUGCAAUGUGCGAAAGCACGACAAGGUUAAUCCGAGUGGUUUCUGCUAAAGGAACCUUUUGACAGUCCUAGAAACACUGUUGAAUAAGGGGUGGGCAAGUUCUGGUGUCAGCCGCCGCGGUAAAACCAGCACCUCAAGUGGUCAGGAUGAUUAUUGGGCCUAAAGCAUCCGUAGCCGGCUCUGUAAGUUUUCGGUUAAAUCUGUACGCUCAACGUACAGGCUGCCGGGAAUACUGCAGAGCUAGGGAGUGGGAGAGGUAGACGGUACUCGGUAGGAAGGGGUAAAAUCCUUUGAUCUAUUGAUGACCACCUGUGGCGAAGGCGGUCUACCAGAACACGUCCGACGGUGAGGGAUGAAAGCUGGGGGAGCAAACCGGAUUAGAUACCCCGGUAGUC
rnacentral:rRNA from 1 species